rnacentral:rRNA from 1 species
GACGAACGCUGGCGGCGUGCUUAACACAUGCAAGUCGAACGGAAAGGCCCGCCUGCGGGUACUCGAGUGGCGAACGGGUGAGUAACACGUGGGCAACCUGCCCUCAGCUCUGGGAUAACUCCGGGAAACCGGGGCUAAUACUGGAUAUCGACUUCUGCCUCGCAUGGGGUGUUGUUGAAAGUUUUUCGGCUGGGGAUGGGCCCGCGGCCUAUCAGCUUGUUGGUGGGGUGAUGGCCUACCAAGGCGACGACGGGUAGCCGGCCUGAGAGGGCGACCGGCCACACUGGGACUGAGACACGGCCCAGACUCCUACGGGAGGCAGCAGUGGGGAAUAUUGCGCAAUGGGCGGAAGCCUGACGCAGCGACGCCGCGUGAGGGAUGACAGCCUUCGGGUUGUAAACCUCUUUCAGCUCUGACGAAGCGAGAGUGACGGUAGGAGCAGAAGAAGCACCGGCCAACUACGUGCCAGCAGCCGCGGUAAUACGUAGGGUGCAAGCGUUGUCCGGAAUUAUUGGGCGUAAAGAGCUCGUAGGCGGUUUGUCGCGUCGAAUGUGAAAACCCGGGGCUCAACUCCGGGCCUGCAUUCGAUACGGGCAGACUAGAGUUCGGUAGGGGAGACUGGAAUUCCUGGUGUAGCGGUGAAAUGCGCAGAUAUCAGGAGGAACACCGGUGGCGAAGGCGGGUCUCUGGGCCGAUACUGACGCUGAGGAGCGAAAGCGUGGGG